CCGCCGUGUGUGUCCCGGUGGGCUGAGGGAGGAGAUGCUGUCCCACCCCCCUCACAGCCGAGCCCUGAUGAGGCUGAUGGAUACAAAGAUGUGGACUCUACUUUUGGAGGAAAAGCAGACGGAGCUGGAUAACAGCAAAUCUCUGUGGUGGAACUGGUCGGGCUCUGUGAGCACACUCGAGGAGGUCUGGGCUGGAGCAGCCAGAUUAAAGGUUUCAGAAUUUCUGUUUUCACUGGCUCCACAAAGGGGAUCUUGGAUUGCCCCCUGCUUGGAUAGAGAUCACUGAAUGCACUGGGAGUUUUACUCACAUCGUGAUUGUUACGGCAGCUUCCAAAGUCCUUAUCUGUUUUUCCAGAUAAGUGGAUGAAAAUCUGACCCUGUGUUUGAGGGUUUAUUAUUAUUGUUUUUAUUAUUA